GUCCUCGGUUUUCAUUUUCAACUGAACCAAUUCAGAGCACAUAGCUACAACCACAGUUGCUCUUCCAAUUCAUCCUCAUGUACACUCAUCAUAGCCCCUGGAGGCUUUCAGAAGAUGACCGGGGGGGAGGUACUGGGAGUGGGCGGGUAGGUGGAGCUGGGAGGGUCUUCUGUACCUGGCCAUCUGGCCGUGGCUUGCAGAAGGCAUAAAAGACUGCUCUCCUGGGAGUCUCUGACUCUCUCAGCUGGUCCUACUGCAUCCAUCUGCCAUUUUGUUCUUUGUUUGGUUUGUUGCACCUUACAACACACAUCAUACCAUUCAUUCACUCAUCCACACAGGGCAAACACGACUGAUGUCUUCUACAUUUACACACCCCACUAUUGCAUUUAUGUUUAGUUCAUUUGUGUUAUUAGUCUAUUUAGUUAAAUAAACCACUUUUUGGUUA